UAUCGGUGGAGACAUUCAAAACUUAACUGGACAAGUGCCUUAAACCUGGUCUAGUUGGCCCUGCUUUGAAUGGAGGAUUCAGCUACAUGACCUCCAGAUUUCACCUUUCAACACAGAAUACUUCGUAAUUCAGCAGUUAUUGGAGUAGAGGAAAGAAAGAGUGGACGAACAGUUUUAUUUUAUUGGAAGAAAAUACUGUUACAGGGAUAUUUACAAUUGGAAAGUUAGCAUUUUGUAGCAUGUCAUGAGGACUGCAUUUGUGAAACAAGCUGAAUCCUGUGAACCACUAUACGAAAUGAUAACAGUACAAGUCUCUCAAACUUUGGGCAGCAAGAUGGAGGCUGUAUAGUGUGACUUACUCUGUAGAUUUGAUUCUCUGUGAUCCUGAAAUGCAUGCUAUGGAUAUUACUGUCAGCUGAUAAAUUCUCUGAUUGCCACUUCUCUGUAUAUAUGGCAAUCCAGAAGUGUUGCAACUUUUAGUCCCAGUGUUCUGUAAUAAUGCAGAAUCACAAAAUAUCUGUCCAAAAAUGCCUAGCCUCUGAUAAUGUGGCUUGUCUUCACUUCAUUCCACAGGGACAACUUCAGGACCUAGGAAGGAUGCAGCUACAUUUCCCAUGCUGAUAGGCAGCAGCACAUCCCCAAUCCAGCAUGACAUUUCACGGUACGAAGACUGUCUUCUUAAAAUGGUUGAGGCAAUGAAUCCAAUAUCUGCCCCAGGACACCUUUGCAGAGAAUCUUACGACAGGAACAAAAUGCACACGCCUCAUCACGUGAGCCACAGGCCAUCAUCGUCUUGGUACCAGACCCCUUGCAGCCCCAGAAGCAGAGUGGAUGAGCUGGAGGAGAGCAGGCUCCUCGAGGAGAUUUUCUUCAUUUGACAUGCCUCAUUGGUCUUUAAUUUUUAUGUCUUUUUAGGACCUCUUUAUUGCUGAUUUGUUUGUGUUAAAGUGCCAUUUUUAAAUUAUUGGAGUGACAACUGUUUGUCUUCUCUCUUCUAAAGCAUAGCUGAUUAGCAUCCAGUUUCAUUUUGGAUUUAGUGAUGGUGCUAGAACAUAGUUGGGGUAGACCAGUCAGAAAGUGUUAACUUUUUUUUUUCCUAAACCUUUCAUAUGCCAAGUAAUCAUUCUAAAACAGGAAUUUUUUAAUCUACAACAUUUUCUAAUAGGUUGAAGUCACAGUUUUGCCAGCCUCAUAUGAGAAGUAUAUUUCAUUAUCGAUUUUUAGCUCUGAAGCAGUUUGCAAGAACUGCCUAACAUUCAAGAACCACUAGGUUCAAAGUAGAUUAUUUUCUAAUUAAACAAGUCUGUUUCAAACCUGGCAUAUUAUAUUAUAGGUGUACAAGCACUUUAGUACUUUUUUUCCAGUGAUUUUAUUAUCUACUUUUUCUGUCAGCAUUCUGAUAUUUAACACUGGGGUUUUAGGGGAUAUGUUGUAACCUCAACUACACAAUGUCUAAUAACAUUAAUAGAAGAGUUGCAGGUUGAUGUACUACACAUCUGUUUGAACUAUAUUACUUUUUAAAUCAGUGCUAUUUGACAGAGUUUAUGUGCUGGGUAGCCUCACCCAGAAAUAGGAGAACACAGUCAGACAUUGUAGUGGUCCCAAACUUACCUGAUGUACUUUUCAAGAUAAAAUAUAUUAUAGUGGUAGUAUAAUAACAGUCUUAAGACAUUUUCACUAAUUUGCACUAUUUUGAUCCUGUACCCAGGCUCCAUUGUAAAUAAGACAAAUCAGUAAUUAUUUCCACUAGUGGCUCACAAUGCACGUUUCCCUGAUGGCUUUAAUUAUUCAUGCUGUAUCUAUUUCAGUUUAUUUAAAUGCACUUCCAUCUACUGCAUGUACUUGGUUAUUUAAAGAAAUGUGCCGAAUUGGUAAAAAUGACUGCAGAUUACAGGAUUAAUGAUCAUUUUCUGCACAAUGCAGUGUUCAUAUUUUAUUGUAACAGUAGCCACCGGCAUGUGUUCCUAGAAAUAUGAGGCUAAAAUACUCAUUUUGCACAGUAAAAUUGCAGCAAGGGAAAGGUAGAAUUGAGCCAGUAUGGGCAAGUUCUAGGCCAUUUGCUCCCAAACACCACGUCGUGGGCCAGUACAGCUUUACUGAGAGUCUCUUUAGGCAACCCGGCUUAUCUUAAUGGCAGUGAGUUGCUGUACCAGUCCUUGGGGUAUUGCUGCUGCCUGCCUCGUACACUCUUACUCCUGUUUGGUGCUCUGCAAGGAGCUUGCAAAGCUCGGCAAUGAGACCUGCGGUGCAUCUCUGAUGAGAGCAUGAGUGCAGGAUAUGUAGCACGUGCCCCUGGCAGCACUGUGCUCUUACAGCAAUGAAACAAAAGGAGAAUGAGGGGGAAGAUGAACCUCAAGUUACUCUGAGCUGCUUUGUUCAGGCCCAGUCUUAAUCACAAAUUAAGUGAUAGCCUUUUUGUGCAUCCCAGCUGAGUAUUAAAAGCUGCUUGGGGGAGUUUAAAGAACGGAAGCAGCAUUGCUGGACCAGAAAAUGACUACUGUGGGGAGGCCCUCCUUGGUCUGCCCUGAUGUCAGUGGAAUAUUAGAGUUCUUUUGAAUAUGCCCAUUUGCUGUUGAAUGUUGCCCUCUUGCGAAGGCACAGGUUUCUGCUUAAAGCCCCAGAGGUGUAUUCAGUGCCCUGACCCAAGUAUAGCAGGUGGGGAAAUUGGUUUUCUCAUUCUGCUGUGUAAGUAGUCUGCUUCUUUAAAAGGGCAGGGAAAAGGAAGGGAAAGAAGAGGAAAAUGUACAAGAAGCAGCAGUAAAACUGUAAAACCAUGAAGAAAUGCCAUCACAUAGAUCUGAGGGUUUGGGGUUGAUUUAUGUGUUUUUUAGUUUUGUUCAGGGAAUGGUGAUGUUGUUGAGGUUUGGCAUUUAUAAAGAAAGAGUUCUCUGAUUUCAGUCCAAUUGCUAUUCUUUUUUCCAGUUUGACUGAAACUUUAAUUGCCUUUUCUAACAAGUGCUAACUGAUCUUUUGAAACAGCAAAAAAUACAUGUAUAUCUCUUGAAAGGUGCCUUUGUGUACCCCGUCGAGAACACUGCGUGGGAACAUUCUGUUCUUUGGUUCUUUGUGGGUGCCAAUAUUUAACUGCUUUAGAAUUCCUUAUGCUCCAUUUUGUUCAUUAACAAUUCUGAUUCCAAGGGUGACUUUCGUCUUGAAUCUGUAUUUUGGUAAUAACUCUUUUUAAAAGGACAUUGUCAGGGUUGUGGACUCCAUGCACAAAGUGCUGUCCAUCAGUCAGAGCUACAUGGGAGGCAUACUUUUACUGAGCAGCAGAGGUUUCUAGAAUUAAGAUGGUUGAAAUGUCUAAUGGGUAAAGACUUGCAUGUUUUAAGUUUCUGUGAGAUGUGGAUGAAGAAACAAAGCUAUUAAUUUGGUAGACCCUAUGAAAAGUCAUUUUUUAUAAUGCUGGCUCUUGCUCUAGUUAUCAGCAGUACAUUAGGUACAGUGUUUAGCAGUCAGUGCAAGCAAAGAUAUUUUGCCAUGAGGCACUACAAAGUUGAAGUUAUUAAAACAUUUAUAGCCUUAGAAAAAAAAAAAUCAAUGAUUGUCAAAUAGGAAAGGACAAAAUCAGUAGCUGGGAUUGGGAGGGGAAUUGUUUUCCAUCUGCUAAAACAGUAGAGGAAAUGCAAAAAUUAAACUAGCAAAAGCAAUCACUUGACAGUGUCCUUUUAAGUUUAAGCCCCUAUAUUAGGAAGCUGCCGCUGGGGAGUUAGUGCAGCCAUAGCUUGUUGUCCAGAGUGUUGCAGUUAAUAUGCUUCAGAUACACAUCGGGCUGUGUUCUACAUGUGGCUUUGUGGAGUAACAUGACUUCUGCUGAGGCUCCCACCCGUGCCUUCACUUUGUGUUCUUCCCAAGUGGCUCAUACACGCACCCCUGCUGUGUGUUUGUGUAGUCAUUGCUUGUGUGCACCUCGCAUGCCGUGGACCUAUAGCAAUCACAUCCUUCCAUUUCUAGCUGCUCCAGUCUUGCUGUUGAAUCCCAUCUUGAGCAUAUAUUUAUGUAUGUAUUAAGGUCUUAAUCUAAUAAAUUAUCUGCAAAUUUUA